rnacentral:antisense_RNA from 1 species
AAAUCAUGAAGAAUAUCCUUACUUGAACCGGAUAAUCCUCUUAAUAGUCCUCUAAGAUCAUCUUUUCCCCCUCUUCUCUUUUUCUUUUUAUUAUUUCCAUUUCGUUGUUUUUUAUUUGAAUCUGUUUUUUUACCUUUUUGCCUAUUUUCAUUUCUAUUAUGAUCUUCUUCUUCUUCUUCUUCUUCUUCUUCUUCCUCCUCCUCAUCCUCUUUAUUAUCGUUUUUAUUAUUAGAAUUUUGAUAAGGACCAUCUAAUGGCUCAUCAAAUGGGUCUGAACUAAGAUUACUUGGAUCUCUCGUUUGUGGAGUUGAAGAUAAUUGAUGAUGAUGAUGAUGAUGAUGAUGAUGAUGAUGGUAAAUAGAGCAAUUUCCAGCACCACCUUUUUUUGAUAAAUUCACAUUCUUAAGUACUGGCUUUUUACCACCACUACCUCCUCCACCCCUACCUCCACCUCUACUCGAACAUUUUUUAUUACUAUUAC